AGAUUAAGUUAUUAAGGGCGCACGGUGGAUGCCUUGGCACUAGAAGCCGAUGAAGGACGUUACUAACGACGAUAUGCUUUGGGGAGCUGUAAGUAAGCUUUGAUCCAGAGAUUUCCGAAUGGGGAAACCCAGCAUGAGUUAUGUCAUGUUAUCGAUAUGUGAAUACAUAGCAUAUCAGAAGGCACACCCGGAGAACUGAAACAUCUUAGUACCCGGAGGAAGAGAAAGAAAAUUCGAUUCCCUUA
rnacentral:rRNA from 1 species